rnacentral:lncRNA from 1 species
CAGGUCAGAGCAUAAUUAUAUGUACUAGGAUGUACUUACAUUUUAAUGAAAUGGAUUUGGAACUACUUAUGCAUGCAAAUGAUGUGAUCCUACAGUGAUAUUAUGAAUUGAAGUAAGUGCUUUGAAAGCAGAAAUGUCAGUAAUGCAUGAUGCAUGAAUUUUUCAAAUGAAAUUGAAAUGCUUAUUAAAUAUACCAAUGAGAUCUUCCACUUUAAAAUAAAGUAUCUUCAUCUUGGUUUACCAGCAUUUAUGUUCUAUGCCUCACUCUUAUGGGUUUAUUGAAUAAGACAGAUUCUUGAGUGAAAUAACACUUUUUUAUUGUCCAAGUUCAUUGCAUCAAUUUUCUUUUCAACAAGCAGAAGAUAUGGCAGAUUUUUGGCAAUUUGAAUUCUCUUCUCAUAUUUGAAAAAUUGACAAAAUGUCAUUUAGGCAAAAUUUCACUUCUUCAUACCUCCUAAAUUUGUUUAUAAGUACAAAUUUUUAUUUAUUUUCCUUGGGUCAAUUAGCUUACGUUGUGAUUGGUACAACAUUGUAAUUAACAAUGAAAUAAUGUCUGUGAAACAUUAUUUUAGAACUAUGCAGCUAGAAUUGUUGCCUUAGAAAAAAUGUUUGAAAGGAGAAAUAAUGUAGAAAUGUAAUAUUUCUUGUAUGAGAACUGAUAGUAAUAAAUAGCGGACAUUAUAUUAUAAAACAUAGUACUUUUACCAUGUUUUGCCAGACAGUAAUAACUACAACAAUGGCCUAUUUUGUACUGUUGUCUAUAUAAUGGUCUUCAUCUUUACAUCUGUAUAAUUUUCAUCUAGUUGUAAUUUAAAUACUUUUCCUUCGGUAUAAAUCUUAACCUGAAUUUAAAAGAUCAGAAACAUAUGGUUGUGUUCUAAAUAAAAUCUCUACUGAUAGAUCAAUAGAUAUGUAUAACAAUCUUUGAAUCUGAUUUAUGGCUGUUGGGGACGAGAGUUUUGUGCAAGAAAAAGAGAUUUUUGUCCUGUGAAAAAAAACAUAUUUGUUUGUUUAUUUAUUUAUUUAUUAAAGGUAGUGAUGGUUCUCC